rnacentral:rRNA from 1 species
UACGAACUGCGCGAACGUUAUUCGGAAUCACUGGGCUUACAGGGUGCGUAGGCGGCCAGUCAGGUCCGAUGUGAAAUCCCACGGCUCAACCGUGGAAUGGCAUUGGAAACCGAUUGGCUUGAGUGAGCUAGAGGUGCAUGGAACUUCCGGUGGAGCGGUGAAAUGUGUUGAGAUCGGAAGGAACACCAGAGGCGAAAGCGAUGCACUGGGGCUUGUCUGACGCUGAGGCACGAAAGCUAGGGGAGCGAACGGA